CAAAUCCGAGACCAUGGUCCUCAGCCGGAAAAGGGUGGAGGUUUCCAACGGACCAUUUUGGGGUGUCUCUGUAUUUCAUCCUUGAGACCCCCUUCACUUUAAUGAGGUUUAGACUUUAUUGAGCCAUUAAUGAGAAGACAGAGUAAAGACUUGGCACUACAUCUGAAAUGAAAAAAAAAAAUGUCUUGCUAUUCUGUUCCAUAGCACUGCGUUCUGCAGAUUUCUGAUCUUUACUUUUAGAAGAAACAUCAGCCUCCCUUCUCCAACUUCCAGCACAGGGCACUGAUGAGCAGGUGACGAAGCGGAAGCGGAAGUAGAAGCAGACAAUGGCCGAC